GACGGACGCUGGCGGCGUGCCUAAUAUAUGCAAGUAGAACGCACAGUUUAUACCGUAGCUUGCUACACCAUAGACUGUGAGUUGCGAACGGGUGAGUAACGCGUAGGUAACCUGCCUGGUAGCGGGGGAUAACUAUUGGAAACGAUAGCUAAUACCGCAUAAUAUUAAUUAUUGCAUGAUAAUUAAUUGAAAGGUGCAAUUGCACCACUACCAGAUGGACCUGCGUUGUAUUAGCUAGUAGGUGAGGUAACGGCUCACCUAGGCGACGAUACAUAGCCGACCUGAGAGGGUGAUCGGCCACACUGGGACUGAGACACGGCCCAGACUCCUACGGGAGGCAGCAGUAGGGAAUCUUCGGCAAUGGACGAAAGUCUGACCGAGCAACGCCGCGUGAGUGAAGAAGGUUUUCGGAUCGUAAAGCUCUGUUGUAAGAGAAGAACGGGUGUGAGAGUGGAAAGUUCACACUGUGACGGUAUCUUACCAGAAAGGGACGGCUAACUACGUG
rnacentral:rRNA from 1 species